UGGGGAAUAUUGCACAAUGGGCGCAAGCCUGAUGCAGCCAUGCCGCGUGUGUGAAGAAGGCCUUCGGGUUGUAAAGCACUUUCAGCGAGGAGGAAGGGUAGUGUGUUAAUAGCACAUUGCAUUGACGUUACUCGCAGAAGAAGCACCGGCUAACUCCGUGCCAGCAGCCGCGGUAAUACGGAGGGUGCAAGCGUUAAUCGGAAUUACUGGGCGUAAAGCGCACGCAGGCGGUUUGUUAAGUCAGAUGUGAAAUCCCCGCGCUUAACGUGGGAACUGCAUUUGAA
rnacentral:rRNA from 1 species